AUGAAUGACAACUCUUUGUACUCUAUUUUUAAGCCAAUGUUCUACCCAAGAACAAGAAUUUUCAUCUAGACCAAUUUCUUUGAGUUUGAACACUAAUCUAUUGUGUGGAACUGUAUCAAACGCCUUGGCAAAAUCUAAAAAGAUUGCAUCCACUGCAACACCCUGAUACAUACUUCUACUUACUUCAAUCAAGUUAGUUUGACAAGACCUGUGCUUCAUAAAACCAUGCUGAUUUUUG